UCUCUCCCCGUUCUAACUUCUAAGGCAUUCUAUUUUUCUUUUCCAACAGAAGAGAGUCCUCCACCAUUCUCGUCGUAGAGAGAAAUCGAGCCCCAGAUGCACUGGGGUGCGCUCCUCUGCGACCAGAAGCUGGACGCAGCCACUGUAUCAAAUCCCCGCCGUCCAUCUCUCCUCCACGAAUGGACCAUAGUGCAUCUUAAGAAAUGGAUGGAUCUUCUCCUAGUCUGCAGUAUUCCAUCCCUUUCCUUGUAAACCUCUCAGCCUCUGCUGCUUUAUUCUCCAUCUUAAGCGACGUCCUGAUCUCUCUCACCAUUCCAUUCACCAAUGCCACGAUGUUCAUCACGACAGCUAUCGCGGUCAUGGCCCUUGGCAAGGAGACAUGUGUCUGGCAUGCGUUGUUAGGAUAUGGGUAUGACUUCAUAAAAUACACAAAUAGUGAUGGAGCAAGCAAAAUAAGCCCCAGAUCUUAUAGCACUCUCACACAAAUUUAAAGUUACCGCCAUGGAGCUGAUCUCCGUUCUUGAGCAGGGUGCAACGUUGGUGUCAAUCAAGCCAUCGGGGCAGAGCACCGGGUCGAAUAGGAAGGAAACAGAGGCUGUAAUUGGCUUUGUGCUUGGGCAGAAAUCUGGGCCCGACACGAUUCAAUCCGGCUAAUCUACGCUUACACAUGUUGCCCUUUUUAAUGGAAGAGAUCUGAGUUUUAACAACUUGACCGGAAAAUUUCCUGAAAACUCUGAUUUGUUGCCUUCAAUAAAUUUUAUAUACAAUAUUGUUGUCUACUAUAGGUACCUUACUAACAAUAAGAUGACCGGAGAUAUACCCCAAGUGGAUAUUGAGAAGCACAACACGCAUGAAUUUGGUUUCCAGUUAUUCGUCUAUUGAAAACAGCUUGUAAAAUCCUCUCCCAACUCUACUUCUGAUUGCAUUUGAGCUGCCAAGAACUGCCUCUGACUUUGCUUGUUUUGAUUUAAAACUGAUUAGUAUCAUCCUACUUCUCUUUUUUGUAGUAUUGCUUCAUGCUUCAAGAAGAACCUACCCUGCUCUAAAAAAGCAUAAUAUACUGGAGUACUCCUCUUUGAUGAAUUUGAGGAUCCCUACAUACUUGACAAUUUUCAUGUGAAUAGUGGGGUCCUAACAAGUGGCAGGGAUAAUUUCUUCUGUUUGAAUUUUCAAAUGGGUAGUGCUAUGGCUGCUUGUGAUUGUAGUAAUUCGAAUCCUGCUUGGCACAUGUGGCCUUAGUGGAGCUUUUGGAGUUGCAGAUGCUCAUGUGCAAGGGUGCCAGAAUGGUUGGCGAUCUGUCCUUCAUGACUCUGGAACUCAUCCAAGUACCAGAUUAGCCAUUAUAUGAAUUUGGUGUGCUUUUCACUUUUUUUUUUUUUUCUUUUCAAUUAAUUAGAUUGUUUACACUACUUGUACGAAUUUGCUUAUUCUUCUGGAACUACAGUCAUUUUUGGCUGCUCAUGGGGCUCUAAUGUCUACUUUGAGGUUAAUUUCUAAGUAUGAUAUAUGUCUUCUAUUA